CACCACCUCCCUCUCCUCUUGUAACUUCUGAAUCAUCGCCUUGGUGUGCCAGAUGGUGGGGUGAAGCUUCUUGGACGGCGACGCCCAAGUGCGGUUCAAGUCCUGCCCAGGCAGGGAGCAACGAUA
rnacentral:SRP_RNA from 11 species